rnacentral:rRNA from 1 species
UACGUAGGUGGCAAGCGUUGUCCGGAUUUAUUGGGUUUAAAGGGUGCGUAGGCGGCCCCAUAAGUCAGUGCUGAAAUACUCUAGCUUAACUAGAGGGGUGGCAUUGAUACUGUGGGGCUUGAGUGAAGUCGAGGUAGGCGGAAUUGACGGUGUAGCGGUGAAAUGCUUAGAUAUCGUCAAGAACACCGAUAGUGUAGACAGCUUACUAGGCUUCAACUGACGCUGAGGCACGAAAGUGUGGGGAUCAAACAGG